UGCGCAGGCCACAUGCCUCCACUUUGAACAUUGCAAGAAAAUCAUCUGCGUUUUAUUCCAGAGUUGCGUUCGAUUUCCAACAUUUUCCAAGUACUUAAAUAUUAACAAGGCUGCAAUGUAAAAAAAAGAAAAUACCAGCACGUCUUGCCGCCACCGUAGAUGAGUGACACUUUGUGGUUGCUGUUGACAAAAGAGGCCGCCCACAGAAAGUGAGUGUUGAGCUUGAUUUAUCGUUUUUAUCUUCCAUCAUAUUUACACUUACUUGAACAGGAAGAAUUAAGACCUGCAGGCUGUGCAGUAUCAACAACCCCUUUUUGGUGGUGAAAUAUCUUCUGGUGGACUUGUAUGACGUUUAUAUUACAUAGUUCACUUCUGCGCUUUCCAUUGUGAGUCUUGAGGAGACGAGAAAGUUGGAGCAGCUCUUGGACGCAGCACAGUGUUGUGAUGAGAUGUCUUGACCCGGUCAACUGGACGGGUCCAACUUGCAACUCUGGCUUAUCUCCAUCGCACAGCAUUGAUGCUGACAGCUUGAGAUCGGAAAGUUUGGAAACAAUGAAUGCUACUCGGAGCGGAUAUACAAUACCCCGGCGGCCCAUGGUGGGGGGAGGUGGCAGCAGGAGGACAGAUGGUCUCCCUCAUGGUGGCUGAAAUAAAAGAGGGAAUUAGACUACUCCAAGGUGUACACUCUGACGGCAAUUACGGCAAAUAGAUUGGAAGUGGACCUCCAGGCACCCGGGGAGGCGGCUCCUGCGGGAAGAGCUCCACCUCACUGCAUCUGGAACCUUGUAAUGGUCGGAGUGAGACAAUCCAGAGAGUGUCAUGGCGUGACAUUUACUGCCCUUUCUGUGGAGAAACAGUCAGAUUUCAAAUGCCUCCUCACAGGGCCUGAGUGGUGUCCCUCGAUGAUGUCAUAAUUUUCCCUUUCCUGUGAUUGGUUGGUCAGAGCAAAUCAUGUUUGACUACUCCAUAUGCGUGGUGGGUAUUUUAUGUAAAUAUUUUAGAUUUUUGUCAUGUUGCCAUACAAAUAUUGAUUCUUAAUGGCUCCCAAUGAUGUACGUCGUACAUCAGCGGCAUGAUCAUUGUGGCUGAUAGCAAAGAUAAAUGCGUGCUAUUGUUUGCGCGAUGACAGUGUGCUUCAAUCAGGUCCUCUCCCCUCUAAUCCCAGGUAGAGGUCCAUAAGUGCUGAGUCAGUUAGUGCCUUUUCGAUCCAUCACCCUGGCUUUGUAGUGGGCAGGUGUAUUCCCAGACCCCCCCCUCCAGAGACGAAUGAAACACCUGCCGGGGGCUGCUCGGGACUUCAUCAUCCCGCCAUCCCUUUGUCUCAUUCGGCCGGGGGAUCUCAACGUCGGGGCGGCGGAAAAGUGUGAAAGCAGCACUUUUGUGCUCAUUUGUUGUCUGUACACAAAAAUUUGUGUCAGGAUAGGGUCUUUCCCAAAUGUCUCCCACAUCUGUCCCACUCCCCUGUUUUUUUUCUCGCCCAGUAGGGAAGGCCAUAGCUGAGUGUGUGAUGGUCACAUGACUUGGGAUGUGCACUGAUAACCACAUAGUGGAUAUUAGUACUGGACAUGUGAGAGCGGUGAGUCUCUGCAUGUGUUUUCCUCCAGGCAGUCAAUUAGCGGCUCUGUGUCGGAGCUGUAAAUAAAGGUUUUUAUUACCGCGCACUAUCUGCGCCUCAUCAAUAGUCUGAUGCAUUGGACUCUUUCCAAGCACCGGCUCCCCCUCUUGCCAUUUUGCAGUAAAACAAAAGCAGACCGGGCAAGGUCAUUGGCUGGAUUAAGUUUGGAAUUCACAGUGAAUUUACAAAUACACCAAGUUCCAUCAGUGGACUGGUUAUUUAGAAAUAUCAUUGACAAAAUGAGCAAUUUUCUGUCUAAACGCUUGAGAAAUAGAUACAUUCCUGACCUCUGGCUCAUUCAAAACAGAUUUAUCCGGGGCAUGCCUGACAGUGUCAAUAUACCGUGUCAAGCAGCUUUAAAAAGAAUCAAUCAAUCAAUAUUAACAUACAAAGUAGGUGCAUCAAUGUCUGCGGAUUUAUGAGUGCUAAUACGAGUAUAUCGGAGUCUCUUAAAGGAAACUGCAAAACAAACGACUCGUCGUAUUGAAGAGCUUCAAUGAUCAUCCAUCCGGAAAGUCAUAAAUAUGUUACAAAAUGUGUUGUUGAAUUAAAUGGCACAGCCUUACAUUACAUUUAGGUUCAAAUGUUUUUUGUUUUUCCACACACACUUGCCAUGGUUUUAAAAACAACGUGUAAGUCAAAAGUGCCAUCGACACCUGAGGCAUCUCAUUUAUUUGAUGCAUCCACUGUUGAAUGCAAAUAUAUGCACGUAUCAAUUUCACAGAAGCGAAAAAGCCAAGGCUCCACCAAUCUCUUGUAAAUUGAAUGCUGAUUCUAUUUAUAUUUGCUGUGAUUUAUACCCGCUUUCCUCUAUGCGAGUGAACAGGAAACAGAUGCAAGGAAUUGUUCUUUCCCUGAAUUCCUCGGGGAGCGAUUGUAGUCAACACCGACGUGUGAGACCGCCUUUGUACUUGCAUGUGAAAAGGUGUAGACAGUAUCUAAAUGGACUGCUUGGUUUCCCUCUUCUGGAUGUCCAUUUCCUCACAUGUUUCCAUGUGCGUAUGUCCGUCUGGCCAAAACAGGUUAUCGACUGCGGGUUCUCUCCCCUGAUGUGCUUGUGGAGCCAUGUCGCGGCCUCAUCGGGACAAGGUCAACGACAUGCAGUACAGCAACGGUAUGCAGUAAAUUGAAAUAAAUACAUGGUGAACUUUAAAAGUAGAUCUCUAAAUCAAAAUUGCCAGUCACCAAGACUUUUGUUCAUUACACAACAGUAUCAUUGCACAAUGAUGGGACCAACCAAACAAAUAUAAUUAAAAUUGAGUCAACAGCCAGACAUGUCAUCACAGGGGGAAAAUAACCAUUUCUUGUCUCGCGACCAUGUUUAGCAUCUGCAUGCUGUGAUGAGAGCACAAAGCUUUGUCUUUUCGUGGACCAUGCUGCCAUCUAGUGGAGAUUAACAAAAACAUUUAUGAUGCUAUGAUGACGAAAUUCUCCGCAUUUUUUGAAGUGCAGUGCGUGUCUUGGUACGCCUGAAUGGAUAUUAUUAUCCAUCUAUUAAAUAAUAUUUUUUAUUAUUAUCAUUAUUAGCAACCUUACUGUUAGUAUUUUUAUUAUUAUUAUAAUGAUUAUUAUGGUGUAGCAAAAUAUUUCGGCUACACUACAUUUCCUCUCCUCAAGACGCAGCCAAAGCAGCAAUACAAUGAAAGCAAUAUGUUUGACAACAUAUGAAUUAUGCACACUAUGCAGUUCACGUCUAUCAGUGAUUCGUAAAGGGUCGUGGUACGCGAGCACCCUCUAGUGGUUCGUGAAUUAAUGACUGCUUAAAUGCAGUUCAGUCACUGUUUUUUGUUGUUUGUUUUGGAUUCUAAUUUAAUAUACCUUAUGUGCAGUACAUAUUAACUGAAGGGCAGUUUCUUU